GUUUUGGGCCUUACAUUAUACUCAGAUCCCAGAGAGAGAAAACAACUGAAAAAAAAACAUCUAAAAGCAUGUCUCGAUACAAGUCCCAGCCAUUUGCAUCUCUUUCUGCUAAAAACCUGCUACCUGCUUCCCGAAUGUUCCAAAUCUGCAAAAUGGAAAGAUCAGAACCACCAUCCAAUUCACAACCUGAACAGAAAUGUUCUGUUGGCAGAGAUGUAGUUCAAGGUUUUCAUCAUGGAAUCAUUGUCUGUAAUUCAGGAUGGUUUCAGAAAAACCUGGAAAAUCUUAUACAAACUGAUGCAG